UUCAUUCACACCAGUAAAGCCGCAAGGCGCUUCGGGAGGGGCCUGCGUCCGAUUAGCUCGUUGGUGGGGUAACGGCUCACCAAGGCGACGAUCGGUAGGUGGUCUGAGAGGACGAUCACCCAGACUGGGACUGAGACACGGCCCAGACUCCUACGGGAGGCAGCAGUCGGGAAUUUUGCGCAAUGGACGAAAGUCUGACGCAGUAACGCCGCGUGAGGGAUGACGGCCUUCGGGUUGUAAACCUCUUUUGUCAGGGAAGAUAAUGACGGUACCUGGCGAAUAAGUCACGGCUAACUACGUGCCAGCAGCCGCGGUAAUACGUAGGUGACAAGCGUUGUCCGGAUUUACUGGGCGUAAAGAGCGCGCAGGCGGUCGACCAAGUCGAGUGUGAAAGCCCCCGGCUCAACUGGGGAGGGUCAUUCGAUACUGAUCGACUCGAAGGCAGGAGA
rnacentral:rRNA from 1 species